rnacentral:sRNA from 1 species
GGUGGAUCAUUCGAUAGUAGAAGCAUUCGGACAAGGUGGAAGAACAUGUAUAACAUCAAGAG